rnacentral:rRNA from 1 species
UACGUAGGGGGCUAGCGUUGUCCGGAAUCAUUGGGCGUAAAGAGCGUGUAGGCGGUCCGGUAAGUCCGCUGUGAAAGUCGGGGGCUCAACCCUCGAAUGCCGGUGGAUACUGUCGGGCUAGAGUUCGGCAGGGGAGACUGGAAUUCCUGGUGUAGCGGUGAAAUGCGCAGAUAUCAGGAGGAACACCGGUGGCGAAGGCGGGUCUCUGGGCAGUAACUGACGCUGAGGAGCGAAAGCGUGGGGAGCGAACAGG